rnacentral:rRNA from 1 species
GACGAACCGUGCGAACGUUAUUCGGAAUCACUGGGCUUAAAGGGAGCGUAGGCGGGCUAUCAAGUCUGGGGUGAAAUCCCACGGCUCAACCGUGGAACUGCCUUAGAUACUGACGGCCUCGAGGGAGAUAGGGGCAUGCGGAACUGUAGGUGGAGCGGUGAAAUGCGUUGAUAUCUACAGGAACUCCGGUGGCGAAAGCGGCGUGCUGGAUCUCUUCUGACGCUGAGGCUCGAAAGCUAGGGGAGCAAACAGG